rnacentral:rRNA from 1 species
UACGUAGGGUGCGAGCGUUAAUCGGAAUUACUGGGCGUAAAGAGCGCGCAGGCGGCUGGUCAAGUCCGAUGUGAAAUCUCCCGGCUCAACUGGGAAACUGCAUCGGAAACUGAUCGGCUUGAAGAUGGGAGAGGGUAGUGGAAUUCCCGGUGUAGUGGUGAAAUGCGUAGAUAUCGGGAGGAACACCAGUGGCGAAGGCGACUACCUGGCCCAUUCUUGACGCUGAGGCGCGAAAGCUAGGGGAGCGAACGGG